GGUUGCUUAAGACAGCAGGACGGUGGCCAUGGAAGUCGGAAUCCGCUAAGGAGUGUGUAACAACUCACCUGCCGAAGCAACUAGCCCUGAAAAUGGAUGGCGCUGAAGCGUCGUGCCUAUACCCGGCCGCCGGCGGCAGAGGGCCGUCCGCCUUCGGGCGGCGGCCGUUAAGCCCCGGUGAGUAGGAGGGUCGCCGCGGUGAGCGCAGAAGGGUCUGGGCGCGAGCCUGCCUGGAGCCGCCGCGGGUGCAGAUCUUGGUGGUAGUAGCAAAUACUCCAGCGAGGGCCUGGAGGACCGAUGUGGAGAAGGGUUCCGUGUGAACAGCCGUUGCACACGGGUCAGUCGAUCCUAAGCCCUAGGCGAAAGCCGAUGAUGAUGGUCGCGGGACUUAUGAUGAAGCCCGGACCUCGUGUGCUGCACACAACGGAGAUAUCGGGAGUCCAAGACUUCGAAAGGAGUUUGAGCUGACGAGGCUGAGGCAGAUUCCUGAAGCGUGACAGAAGUAGCGGAGCGAGGAGCUCGCCGCGAUCGUUCCCACCAUACUUUCUCUCACUCACACGUCGUGGUUUCCUGCUCAACGGAAACGCUUCUGUGCUGUAGUGGAGGAGUAGGUGUUCGACGUCGCGGUAGCGAAAAAUCACGCAAGGGAGAGUCCUCUUAAAGUCUCGUGCGGCGCAAAAACUCGCAAGUAGAUGUCGCGCGACUCUCCGAGUAUGUCUCCGCAGCCGCGAGGACAAUCGGGUCGAACUUAAGACAACCCCGUCCGUCGGGCGAAAGGGAAUCCGGUUCCUAUUCCGGAACCCGGUCGCGGGACCGUUCUCUCGAUCCUCGUAUUGACGCGGUAACGCGAAAGACCCCAGAGAUGCCGUCUGGAGCCCGGGGAAGAGUUUUCUUUUCUGUUUGAGCGUUCGGGUUCCAUGGAAUCCUCUCGUAGGGAGAUAUGGAAUGGAGCGCGAAGAGCACCGCAGUUGCUGCGGUGUCCCGGGAGUCCCGUCGGCCCUUGAAAAUCUGGGUGAGGAUCACGUGGAGGCGCCGCACCGGCUCGUACCCAUAUCCGCAGCAGGUCUCCGAGGUCCAGAGCCUCUGGUCGAUAGACUAAUGUAGGUA
rnacentral:rRNA from 1 species